CAAGCGGUGGAGCAUGUGGUUUAAUUAGAAGCAACGCGAAGAACCUUCCCAGGUCUUGACAUCCUGAGACACCCCUAGAGAUAGGAGUUUCCCCUUGGGGUCUCAGAGACACAGGUGGUGCAUGUUUGUUGUCAGCUCGUGUCGAGAGAUGGUGGGUUAAGUCCCGCAGCGAGCGCCCCCUCUGAUUUUAGUUGCCAGCAUUCAGGGGGGCUCUAUAAGGAGACUGCCGGUGACAAACCGGAGGAAGGUGGGGAUGACGUCAAAUCAUCAUGCCCCUUAUGACCUGGGCUACACACGUGCUACAAUGGAAGGUACAAAGGGCAGCAAGCCCGCGAGGUUUAGCAAAUCCCAUAAAACCUUUUCUCAGUUCGGAUGGCAGUCUGCAACUCGCCUGCAUGAAGCUGGAAUCGCUAG
rnacentral:rRNA from 1 species